AUAGUGGACGUUACUCGCAGAAUAAGCACCGGCUAACUCUGUGCCAGCAGCCGCGGUAAUACAGAGGGUGCGAGCGUUAAUCGGAUUUACUGGGCGUAAAGCGUGCGUAGGCGGCUUAUUAAGUCGGAUGUGAAAUCCCCGAGCUUAACUUGGGAAUUGCAUUCGAUACUGGUGAGCUAGAGUAUGGGAGAGGAUGGUAGAAUUCCAGGUGUAGCGGUGAAAUGCGUAGAGAUCUGGAGGAAUACCGAUGGCGAAGGCAGCCAUCUGGCCUAAUACUGACGCUGAGGUACGAAAGCAUGGGGAGCAAACAGGAUUAGAUACCCUGGUAGUCCAUGCCGUAAACGAUGUCUACUAGCCGUUGGGGCCUUUGAGGCUUUAGUGGCGCAGCUAACGCGAUAAGUAGACCGCCUGGGGAGUACGGUCGCAAGACUAAAACUCAAAUGAAUUGACGGGGGCCCGCACAAGCGGUGGAGCAUGUGGUUUAAUUCGAUGCAACGCGAAGAACCUUACCUGGCCUUGACAUACUAGAAACUUUCCAGAGAUGGAUUGGUGCCUUCGGGAAUCUAGAUACAGGUGCUGCAUGGCUGUCGUCAGCUCGUGUCGUGAGAUGUUGGGUUAAGUCCCGCAACGAGCGCAACCCUUUUCCUUACUUGCCAGCAUUUCGGAUGGGAACUUUAAGGAUACUGCCAGUGACAAACUGGAGGAAGGCGGGGACGACGUCAAGUCAUCAUGGCCCUUACGGCCAGGGCUACACACGUGCUACAAUGGUCGGUACAAAGG
rnacentral:rRNA from 1 species